GUGAAUCAUCAAAUUUUUGAACGCAUAUUGCACUCUCUGUUAUUCCGGAGGGAAGGCCUAUUUGAGGGUCAUUUGAAAUAAUAUAAAUUCAAAGAUUUCUCGGAAUUUAAAAUGGUUUUUCCUUUUUUUGUGUCCGCCUAAAACCCAAGCAAACCUCAUUUUCUUGGUUUGCUUGUUACUUUCAGUAACCUCUGACCUUAACCGGGAAUC
rnacentral:misc_RNA from 1 species